GCAGUUAAGGUAAGUUCUCACGCAAUGCUGAACGUUCAGCGAAGAAGCUCCGCUGAUGAAUGAAGGCAUCCGAUCGUCAACUCUGUGUUAAGGAGAUCAAGUACCAGAGGUAACUGCUCGUACCUUGACGGUACUUAUCUAGGAUAGCAACGUGCUCACUUCGAUUGCAGCAGCUGCGGUAGAUACGUAGGUGGCAUGCGAUAUCAGGACUAUUGGCGUGAAUGCGGCGCGGCAGCCGUCUACUUCAGUCUGAUUUCGAGUGUCACGGCUCAUCGCGGAGGGGUCAUUCGUAACUCGGGGAACUUGAGUGCAGAAAGAGAAAAAGCGGAAUUCCACGUGUAGCGGUGAAAUGCGUAGAGAUGUGGAGGAACACCAGUGGCGAAGUCGGCUUUUUGGUCUGUAACUGACGCUGAGGCGCGAAAGCGUGGAGAGCAAACAGGAUUAGAUACCCUGGUAGUCCACGCCGUAAACGAUGAGUGCUAAGUGUUAGAGGGUUUCCGCCCUUUAGUGCUGCAGCUAACGCAUUAAGCACUCCGCCUGGGGAGUACGGUCGCAAGACUGAAACUCAAAGGAAUUGACGGGGGCCCGCACAAGCGGUGGAGCAUGUGGUUUAAUUCGAAGCAACGCGAAGAACCUUACCAGGUCUUGACAUCCUCUGACAACUCUAGAGAUAGAGCGUUCCCUUCGGGGGACAGAGUGACAGGUGGUGCAUGGUUGUCGUCAGCUCGUGUCGUGAGAUGUUGGGUUAAGUCCCGCAACGAGCGCAACCCUUGAUCUUAGUUGCCAGCAUUUAGUUGGGCACUCUAAGGUGACUGCCGGUGACAAACCGGAGGAAGGUGGGGAUGACGUCAAAUCAUCAUGCCCCUUAUGACCUGGGCUACACACGUGCUACAAUGGAUGGUACAAAGGGCUGCAAGACCGCGAGGUCAAGCCAAUCCCAUAAAACCAUUCUCAGUUCGGAUUGUAGGCUGCAACUCGCCUACAUGAAGCUGGAAUCGCUAGUAAUCGCGGAUCAGCAUGCCGCGGUGAAUACGUUCCCGGGCCUUGUACACACCGCCCGUCACACCACGAGAGUUUGUAACACCCGAAGUCGGUGGAGUAACCGUAAGGAGCUAGCCGCCUAAAGAGAGCAAGCC
rnacentral:rRNA from 1 species